rnacentral:rRNA from 1 species
UACGGACGGUGCAAGCGUUGUUCGGAAUGACUGGGCGUAAAGCGCACGUAGGCGGUCUUGCAAGUCGGAUGUGAAAUCCCCAGGCUUAACCUGGGAACUGCACCCGAAACUGCUUGACUUGAAUGCUUGAGAGGUUGGUGGAAUUCCAGGUGUAGGAGUGAAAUCCGUAGAUAUCUGGAGGAACAUCGGAGGCGAAGGCGGCCAACUGGCGAUGCAUUGACGCUAAGGUGCGAAAGCGCGGGGAGCAAACAGG